AUCGAUGAAGAACGCAGCGAAAUGCGAUAAGUAAUGUGAAUUGCAGAAUUCAGUGAAUCAUCGAAUCUUUGAACGCACCUUGCGCUCCUUGGUAUUCCGAGGAGCAUGCCUGUUUGAGUGUCAUUAAAUUCUCAACCUUACCAGCUUUUGUUGGUAAUGGCUUGGAUGUGGGGGUCUUUUGCUGGCUUCGUGAAGAGGUCUGCUCCCCUUAAAUGCAUUAGCCGGUGCCCUGCGUGGAUCCGUCUAUUGGUGUGAUAAUUAUCUACGCCGUGGACGUCUGCUUUAAAUGGGAUGCACUGCUUCUAACCGUCCGUUCAGUUGGACAAUCAAUGACAAUUUGACCUCAAAUCAGGUAGGACUACCCGCUGAACUUAAGCAUAUCAAUAAGCGGAGGAAAAGAAACUAACAAGGAUUCCCCUAGUAACUGCGAGUGAAGCGGGAAAAGCUCAAAUUUAAAAGCUGGUAGUCUCAGGCUGCCCGCGUUGUAAUCUAGAGAAGUGUUAUCCGCGCUGGACCGUGUACAAGUCUCCUGGAAUGGAGCGUCAUAGAGGGUGAGAAUCCCGUCUUUGACACGGACUGUCAGGGCUUUGUGAUGCGCUCUCAAAGAGUCGAGUUGUUUGGGAAUGCAGCUCAAAAUGGGUGGUAAAUUCCAUCUAAAGCUAAAUAUUGGCGAGAGACCGAUAGCGAACAAGUACCGUGAGGGAAAGAUGAAAAGAACUUUGGAAAGAGAGUUAAACAGUACGUGAAAUUGCUGAAAGGGAAACGCUUGAAGUCAGUCGCGUUGGCCGGGGAUCAACCUUGCUUUUGCUGGGCGUAUUCUCUGGUUGACGGGCCAGCAUCAAUUUUGGCCGCUGGAAAAAGGUCAAGGGAAUGUGGCAUCUUCGGAUGUGUUAUAGCCCUUGGUUGCAUACAGUGACUGGGAUUGAGGAACUCAGCACGCCGAAAGGCCGGGUUUUUAACCACGUUCGUGCUUAGGAUGCUGGCAUAAUGGCUUUAAUCGACCCGUCUUGAAACACGG
rnacentral:rRNA from 1 species